UAUAGGGCGAAAAAUACGGUAUAUAUUGGUAAGGCUGAUAAGUCAGCCUGCAUUUGUGGGAGGGGCGAAGGCCUCAUAAAUACGGAGGCACGGCCUCACCUGUCACCUGUCACCCAGGUGUCUAGGGGGUGUGUUCGUUGCAGGUGCAGAAGCUCCACAGCGUUGGCGGGAGUUUUUGUCCUCCUUUUCGCUCCGGAGAAGCAAGCUGCUCAUCUUCCUCCACUUCGGCAGCAGUGAGACUGAGACAUGCCCCGGGUCCGGCUUCAGGUUCAUCCUCCCCCCUGGUUGGCGGGUCCGUUCGGUCCGGUUAUUAUCAAUUGGGUAGACCCAGUCAGGUACCUAUGCAGGAGGCAGUCAAAAGCCUUAUUAGGGGAACAGGCCACUAGCUCCACUGCCAGCGCCUACCACCAGGAUCAGUGUUUCGGCGGUUCCAGUGCAAAAAGAGAAAAUCAUUAUCAUGUUUGUACAUAAAUGCAGAAAGACCACCAUGGAAAGACCAGCUCAUGUUCUUCUUGAAUAAAAUCUCUUCAAAGUCUCCUCAAACUAGUUGAAAGCCAUAAACCAUUUCAAUGUCUUUAUAGCCUAUAAUAGUUCAUUGUCUAUCAUUUAAUUUUGGAAAAUAAAAAAAAUAAAGGGUUUGUGCAACGUAUAACAUGAGGGGAACAGGUCUACGCUGUGACCUGCAAUUGGCUGCAGUCUCGUGAAAAUGGAAGCAUACAUCUUGGGAGCGCAGAGGAGCAGCUGAGCCCGGGAAGAGAAUGAUCAGGAGUCAGCACCAGGAAACAGGUAAGAAUUCUUACUUUUGCAGGUCUGCCCAAGAAGGGGAGUUUGCCAAAUCACCCACCCAAAAGUGAACAACCCCUUUAAACUAAGGUAUAUUGGAGUAAAAUGUGCCACAUUUCGUUGCAUAUUGGACUGUCCUAAAGUCUGAAAAUUAAAUCUACAGUAUGCCUGCGAUUUGCACCAACAUCUGCUUCAUUUUCUGCCUUUAUCUAUAUAUCUAUCUAAAGAUUUCC